GUGAGGGAAUGACUGGUGACAGAGGGGGUGACUAGUGACCGAGUGAGGGAGGGAGUGGGUGACUAGUGACAGAGUGAGGAAGGGGGUGACACAGUGAUAGUCACCCCAUUCCUCCCUCUGUCACUAAUCACCACCUCGCUCACUCUCACUAGUCACCCCUUCCCUCCCUCACUCUGUCACUAGUCACACCCUCCCUCUCUCUGUCACUAGUCACACCCUUACUCAC
rnacentral:sRNA from 1 species